rnacentral:rRNA from 1 species
UAGGCGUGCCUCAGACAUGCAAGUCGAACGAGAAAGUUUCCUUCGGGAGACGAGUAAAGUGGCGCACGGGUGAGUAACACGUAGGUAAUCUACCUUCGGGUGGGGAAUAACCCAGAGAAACUUGGGCUAACACCGCAUAAUGCAGCGGCACCACAUGGUGACAGUUGUUAAAGCGGGGGAUUUUCGGACCUCGCGCCUGAAGAGGAGCCUGCGGCGGAUUAGCUAGUUGGUGAGGUAACGGCUCACCAAGGUGACGAUCCGUAGCCGGCCUGAGAGGGCGGUCGGCCACACUGACACUGACAUACGGGUCAGACUCCUACGGGAGGCAGCAGUCGGGAAUUUUGGGCAAUGGGCGAAAGCCUGACCCAGCAACGCCGCGUGAAGGAUGAAAUCCUUCGGGAUGUAAACUUCGCAAGAAUGGGAAGAAUUAGCGAGCGCUAAUACCGCUCGUGAUGACGGUACCAUUUGUAAGCUCCGGCUAACUCCGUGCCAGCAGCCGCGGUAAUACGCGGGGGAGCAAGCGUUUGUUCGGAUUUACUG